ACAUGCCUACAACAUAGCAUUAAUGCAACAAAUCCCCUUAGAACUCCGCAGUUAAGCAUACUCAAGCUAGAUUAGUACUGGGAUGGGCGAUCGCCCUAGAAGUCCUAGGUUUUUACAUGUC
rnacentral:rRNA from 1 species